rnacentral:rRNA from 1 species
GACGAACGCUGGCGGCGCGCCUAACACAUGCAAGUCGAACGGAGCGUAUUUGUUGAAGGUUUCGGCUGGAAACAGAUAUUGCUUAGUGGCGAACGGGUGAGUAACACGUGAAUAACCUGCCCUGGAGUGGGGGACAACAUUUGGAAACGAAUGCUAAUACCGCAUAAGACCACGGAGCCGCAUGGCUCUGGGGCCAAAGGAGCAAUUCGCUCUAGGAUGGAUUCGCGUCUGAUUAGCUAGUUGGUGAGGUAACGGCCCACCAAGGCAACGAUCAGUAGCCGGACUGAGAGGUCGAUCGGCCACAUUGGGACUGAGACACGGCCCAGACUCCUACGGGAGGCAGCAGUGGGGAAUAUUGGGCAAUGGGCGAAAGCCUGACCCAGCGACGCCGCGUGGAGGAAGAAGGUUUUCGGAUUGUAAACUCCUGUCUUCGGGGAAGAUAAUGACGGUACCCGAGGAGGAAGCCACGGCUAACUACGUGCCAGCAGCCGC